rnacentral:rRNA from 1 species
AUUGAACGCUGGCGGCAGGCUUAACACAUGCAAGUCGAGCGGUAGCACAGGGGAGCUUGCUCCCUGGGUGACGAGCGGCGGACGGGUGAGUCAUGUCUGGGAAACUGCCUGAUGGAGGGGGAUAACUACUGGAAACGGUAGCUAAUACCGCAUAACGUCGCAAGACCAAAGAGGGGGACCUUCGGGCCUCUUGCCAUCAGAUGUGCCCAGAUGGGAUUAGCUAGUAGGUGGGGUAAUGGCUCACCUAGGCGACGAUCCCUAGCUGGUCUGAGAGGAUGACCAGCCACACUGGAACUGAGACACGGUCCAGACUCCUACGGGAGGCAGCAGUGGGGAAUAUUGCACAAUGGGCGCAAGCCUGAUGCAGCCAUGCCGCGUGUGUGAAGAAGGCCUUCGGGUUGUAAAGCACUUUCAGCGAGGAGGAAGGUGGUGAGCUUAAUACGCUCAUCAAUUGACGUUACUCGCAGAAGAAGCACCGGCUAACUCCGUGC